AGCAGCCGCGGUAAUUCCAGCUCCAAUAGCGUAUAUUAAAGUUGUUGCAGUUAAAAAGCUCGUAGUUGAAUUUUGGAUUCUGCCAAUUGGUCCAUCUUUUAGAUGAGUACUGGUUGUGUGGGGUCUAUCCGCCUGGUGAUACGUAAUGUCCUUUAUUGGAUGUUGCGGGUAGCCAGGACCUUUACCUUGAAAAAAUUAGAGUGUUUAAAGCAGGCUUAUGCCGGGAUACGAUAGCAUGGAAUAGUAGAAUAGGACGAAGUUGUUUUAUUUUGUUGGUUUCUAGGACAACCGUAAUGAUUAAUAGGGAUAGUUGGGGGCAUUAGUAUUCAAUUGUCAGAGGUGAAAUUCUUGGAUUUAUUGAAGACUAACUACUGCGAAAGCAUUUGCCAAGGAUGUUUUCAUUAAUCAAGAACGAAAGUUAGGGGAUCGAAGACGAUCAGAUACCGUCGUAGUCUUAACCAUAAACUAUGCCGACUAGGGAUCGGGCGAUGUUGUUUCCAUGACUCG
rnacentral:rRNA from 1 species